rnacentral:rRNA from 1 species
AUGCUUAAACCGAGUGGAAGUUUUGAUGGUAUGAUUCCUUUCAGAACACAAGGUCUGAACAAAUGGAAUGACAACCAAUCUUAUUACUGGGAACUUCCGAAGGAUGGAUUUUGUGGUGAAACGAUGGACAUGAGCACCCCCGUUAUAACAGGAAAGCACGUUCUAUAUGACUUCCUCAUGAGCCAUUCUUUUGAUUUGUCUCUUUUUGCUUGUCAGCCGAUGAAAAUAAGUGGAAGAUGUAUUUGUGAUGCCAACAAAAUAUGGUCCAGACUUGCCUCGGGAAAAGACCCAUUUGUGACCAUGUAG